rnacentral:sRNA from 1 species
AUGGACCUAGAUGUCGCGGAUGGCUGCUUUCUCUUCGGGAUUUCGACUUCGGCAUACACGUGAGUGCCCUAUUUGGGUUUUAUAUAUACAUUUUCCUUCUCUUGUGUUUGCGCAUGCUGACCUUUUGCUCUUCCUUGCUUUAGAUGGCCCUUUUCCUGGAGGCGGACCAGCACUUGCGGAAGAACUCUCUUUCCGGCCGUCCUUCGACCCACACAUUUCGCCCACAUGAAAUUCUUUUGAUAUGAUGUGAAUCUGAAUCUACAUAUACCUGAAUAUAUCCUAUGUUUUGUG